rnacentral:rRNA from 1 species
CCUACGGGAGGCAGCAGUAAGGAAUAUUGGUCAAUGGGCGGAAGCCUGAACCAGCCAUGCCGCGUGCAGGAUGACUGCCCUAUGGGUUGUAAACUGCUUUUGUCCAGGAAUAAACCUAAAUACGUGUAUUUAGCUGAAUGUACUGGAAGAAUAAGGAUCGGCUAACUCCGUGCCAGCAGCCGCGGUAAU